AAACAGGUGAUAUGGUUCUCACAGCUCCGGAGAGAACACGCCCAGCCCAAGUCAUUUCUACACUGCAAUUCCUUGGCUUCAGGUGAUUUAUAUUGUGCUGUUUGUGGUAGUGUUGUUCCAGCCUGGUGUGCAAAACAAGCCCUGCAAUCUCAGGAUUUUCUCAGUCUCAUAGGUGGGGCUGACUUUUCAGAGAGAGGCAGUCCUUGAGAUCCCAGGAUGUGGCAUAGCUCUGGCUUCCGGGGAAUAUUUACAGCAUAUUAUUUUCCUAGCAAGGAAACACUCUAAAAUUUUCAAUAGAGAUAUUCCUUAUGGGUAGUGGGGAUGGGACUUUUGUGACCCAUCCCCCAGAUGCCCUCCCCCAGUGUCUCACUGAGGCACAGGAAUGUCUGGUGGCAUAAAAGACACAUACCCUUGGUGCACGUUCACUCUGGUUUCCACCAAAGGGAGACUUCUUCAAGGAAUUAGAGAUUUUUCUUAGAGGUCAAUUUCACUGAAAUAAAUUAAUUAGCAGUCUUUCACAAAUGUUUUCUUUCUUUUCUCUCCCUUACUGACAUUCUGGCCUGUUGUUCAGUUUUAAAACAUGGGGACUUAGCCCUCUGGCCUUUGCCUACUUUUUUCUUCUUCUUUAAACCAUAAUUUUUUAUCAUGUAUUUGGUUUGGCUUUUAAGUCGAUCACUUAAUAUGUUGGUAAUAAAAGGUCAUUUGAGCAAUAGAGAUAGGGUAAAUGAAGAAAAAUAGUGCUUGCUGAAAGGGAGAGACUCAAAUGACGUUGCAAGAUGUGUUACUUCAGCACACAUGACAUUCUCCUAUGUCCCUAUGUGC
rnacentral:lncRNA from 1 species